CACAUGCAGUCGAGCGGGGAAGGGUAGCUUGCUACCUGACCUAGCGGCGGACGGGUGAGUAAUGCUUAGGAAUCUGCCUAUUAGUGGGGGACAACAUUCCGAAAGGAAUGCUAAUACCGCAUACGCCCUACGGGGGAAAGCAGGGGAUCUUCGGACCUUGCGCUAAUAGAUGAGCCUAAGUCAGAUUAGCUAGUUGGUGGGGUAAAGGCCUACCAAGGCGACGAUCUGUAGCGGGUCUGAGAGGAUGAUCCGCCACACUGGGACUGAGACACGGCCCAGACUCCUACGGGAGGCAGCAGUGGGGAAUAUUGGACAAUGGGCGAAAGCCUGAUCCAGCCAUGCCGCGUGUGUGAAGAAGGCCUUUUGGUUGUAAAGCACUUUAAGCGAGGAGGAGGCUACUUGGAUUAAUACUCUAGGAUAGUGGACGUUACUCGCAGAAUAAGCACCGGCUAACUCUGUGCCAGCAGCCGCGGUAAUACAGAGGGUGCGAGCGUUAAUCGGAUUUACUGGGCGUAAAGCGUGCGUAGGCGGCUUUUUAAGUCGGAUGUGAAAUCCCUGAGCUUAACUUAGGAAUUGCAUUCGAUACUGGGAAGCUAGAGUAUGGGAGAGGAUGGUAGAAUUCCAGGUGUAGCGGUGAAAUGCGUAGAGAUCUGGAGGAAUACCGAUGGCGAAGGCAGCCAUCUGGCCUAAUACUGACGCUGAGGUACGAAAGCAUGGGGAGCAACAGGAUUAGAUACCCUGGUAGUCCAUGCCGUAACGAUGUCUACUAGCCGUUGGGGCCUUUGAGGCUUUAGUGGCGCAGCUACGCGAUAAGUAGACCGCCUGGGGAGUACGGUCGCAAGACUAAAACUCAAAUGAAUUGAC
rnacentral:rRNA from 1 species